rnacentral:rRNA from 1 species
GGGCCACGGGGAAUGCCUUACNUAACGGCGAGUGAAGCGGCAAAGCUCAAAUUUGAAAUCUGGUACCUUCGGUGCCCGAGUUGUAAUUUGGAGAGGGCAACUUUGGGGCCGUUCCUUGUCUAUGUUCCUUGGAACAGGACGUCAUAGAGGGUGAGAAUCCCGUGUGGCGAGGAGUGCGGUUCUUUGUAAAGUGCCUUCGAAGAGUCGAGUUGUUUGGGAAUGCAGCUCUAAGUGGGUGGUAAAUUCCAUCUAAAGCUAAAUAUUGGCGAGAGACCGAUAGCGAACAAGUACAGUGAUGGAAAGAUGAAAAGAACUUUGAAAAGAGAGUGAAAAAGUACGUGAAAUUGUUGAAAGGGAAGGGCAUUUGAUCAGACAUGGUGUUUUGUGCCCUCUGCUCCUUGUGGGUAGGGGAAUCUCGCAUUUCACUGGGCCAGCAUCAGUUUUGGUGGCAGGAUAAAUCCAUAGGAAUGUAGCUUGCCUCGGUAAGUAUUAUAGCCUGUGGGAAUACUGCCAGCUGGGACUGAGGACUGCGACGUAAGUCAAGGAUGCUGGCAUAAUGGUUAUAUGCCGCCCGUCUUGAAACACGACCA